UUCUCUCUAUUCCCGACAUCCUCCAGAGAUCUAGCACUAGGCCCUCUCGUCCCCUGUCGAGAGCUCCCGGUAUGGGCAGCACCUGUGACGAGAGGGACCAGACAGGAGUGCUGUUUGUGUCUGUUUCAGUUUCGUCCCCAUCGGGGCGAACUGAGCCCUUGCUGAGCAUCCAACAGAAACCCAUUCCGCUGGCAGAGAUGGAUGGCGAACGGAUCCCUGAUGGAAUAUCAAGAUUAGGGGCUGGGGUAGUCAAUACGUCCAGUCGACCGAGCUAUUGUCAUGUUGAUGGAACAGUCUGAAGUGAAUGGAUGGGGGGCUCGCGCUGUGCAAAACCUUAGACAGAGGUCAUACCAGAUGAGGGAAGAACAACACCGGGCACGUGCAGGAAAGUUAAAGAUGCACUUCAGAUCUGAGAGGAUCGGGGGUGCAAGCGGGGAACAUACCACGAUCUAUAUGCUGAACCAACCGGACAGAAUUACACCGCUCAGGGAGCAGAAAAGAAAGAGUGAAUGAGGAGAAGAUUCCACCUGGGGAUGGAGGGAUGAGGAAGGAAAGGUCAGCCAAAGGCCAGCCAUUUAAUUGUAACCACAUGACACUGAGGCCGGUGUCCCAAAUGGCACUCUAUUCCCUAUAUAGUGCAGUAAUUUUGACCAGGCCCCAUAGUUGAUUCAUUUUGCAUACCCCACCAUACCAUGAGACCUGUCUU